rnacentral:lncRNA from 1 species
GCUGGCACGGUAGCGACGACGUAAACUACGUCUCGCAUUCUAUGACUUUAGUCGCAGGCGAGACAAAAUACUAUCGGAGUUCUACAUUUAUAAGUUGUAAUUAUGUUGUAUUUUACAAGUUCAAAACUAUAAAAUAGUACUUGUUGUGUUCUUUUUAACUGCUUUCUUAAAGCUUUACUGAAAAUGUGUAAUAAUGUUUAGCCACAUAAUCUUGUACAUGAUAAGUCACAACCCAAGCCACAAUUUAAGCUAGUACUUCAAUCUUGUUAAUAAACCAAGAACUGCAAAAGUAUAGUACUCAAUAGGUAUACACCUACUCAAUUUGGUCAAUAUGUACCCAAUACAAGUCUAGAUGCUUUGAUCCAUUUAUAAAUAACGUAUAGUGAUCGAUUGUCGGCAUAUCACUCCCGAAUUUACAGUAUCGUUUUGUCUAAGAAACAAGUAACAUUUCUCUUUUCCCGGUCGGUACUUAUUAUUAUUAAGAAGUUAGACUGGCCGAAUGCUUUGUCUUUGUGAUGCAUAUGUUUAUAGAACUCCCAAAGUCAUGACAGUGACACAAUUUGCGAUACAUUAAAAACUUCUCGAGAUACGACUACAUCAUCGUUCUAUCAUUCUAUAGCUCUGGUAGUUCAUUCAAUAAUGUUUGAACAAUAUAUUUGAAUAAUCGGACAAAUAAAACUUCCUUGAACACGAACUAACAUAAUCUAUCCGAAACGUAUCUAUACAGUUCAAUAAAGUAUCAUAAAUGGUGGAGAUUUUAACGAUGUUUGUGUUCAUAUCUGUCAUAUCUGUAGAAUAAAAAAUGUGAUUACUGUUUCU